CGCGUAGGCGGGCCUUCAAGUCGGGUGUGAAAACUGGCGGCUCAACUGCCAGCCUGCACUCGAUACUGUCGGCCUUGAGUACGGGAGAGGAAAGCGGAAUUCCAGGUGUAGCGGUGAAAUGCGUAGAUAUCUGGAAGAACACCAGUAGCGAAGGCGGCUUUCUGGCCCGAUACUGACGCUAAAGCGCGAAGGCUUGGGUAGCAAACA
rnacentral:rRNA from 1 species